UUUUAAACAACUUUUCAUGAGUUCACAUUUCACUAAAGCAACAAAAGAUUAGGAAUUGAAAACCCACUCAAUAUUAUCAUACACUGCUUGAAAGUGAAGGGGAAUCUUGUCUCCAGGCGCAAUCAAAUAUCCGUUUCAAGUCUGGGGAUUAAAAAAAAAUUUCAGGAUAAUUUCCUAAAAAAAAAAUCAUUACAAGGCACUGAACUGAACUCCAACAUCAUUCUAAUUCUAUACUACCAUAUGGCCAUGCAACUGCUAACAUAAGAAAACUCUUGAAUUCCAAAUAUAUGGCACUGCCCAUACUAAUUUAACCUGCUGCAACUGUAGCUUCUAAGAGAACAAAAUGGUUAAAAGUAAAAUGCCAGGAGGAAAAAAAAAGUUAAAAUAGAAACACUCAUACAAUAAGAUGAGAGAAGAUGCUACAACAAAAGUGAGAUGAGCAUAAAAACCAUUAGAUUGUCUCCCAUGGAUCCAACUCUUCCCCUGCAACAAUCAGAUUUUGAGUUGUUCCAUCUGUUGAACUGUCUCAAAUUCUUUCAGCUUUGGGCUCCCAGUUUCCUCCACUUGACCUGGUGAUUUAUUUGGCAAGAAGGCAGCAGCAGUAGCAGUUGGAUGAUCUUUCAUAAUGUUUAAAGGAUCUUCCUUUUGUACAGCUUGAGAUUCUGCUUUCUGAACAGGUGAAUGAUCUUUUUGAUUAGCCUGAGAUUCUUCUUUCUGAACAAGCGAAUGAUCUUUUUGAACAGCCUGAGGUUCUUCUUUCUGAACAGGUAAAUGAUCGUUUUGAAUGCCCACAGAAUCUUCUUUCUGAGCAGCCAGAUGAUCUUUUCUAACAUUCAUAGGAUCUUCUUUUCGAACGGGUGGUGGAGUAGCAUAUGCUAGUGAAGUUGGCCUAAUGGUAACAGUUGGAGGUUGUUGAGGUAGCCCUUGCAUCACCUGAUGGGGAAGUGAUGGUGGUUGACGUUGAGGUGCUGCAAAAACGGGCACUACACUUCUUAUUUUCACUGGUUGAGCCAUGCCGUGGCAAUGUGCCCCAAAUUGUCGGAUAGGGACGUAAGGAGCUGCUCCUGCUGCAGGGAAUUUCUGAGGAUAAGUUGCCCAGAGUUCUGGAAGAGGUGAUUGUCGUGGAGGUACACUUCUGUCAUUUGUUGUAGUUGAUGUAGGUCUGGCUGGCACAGGUCUGUCAACUGCUGUGGUUGAAGUAGGCCUAUUUCGAGAAGCUGUCCUUGGGCAGAUUAAGGGGAGGAUUUUAGAUGAGGUAGCUGGGGCAGGCUGUGGACUUGUUGGCCUAGGGCUCUGAAUUUGAAACUUUUUUGAAAAUGGUAUUGGGGAGUUGGCAGAGUUUACAGUUGCUAUUUUUUCCUUCAGACGGUAAUUCGAUAGGGCACGUGCUAUCGUGAUUUGUUCUAGCUCAUCAUUGUUCUCUGGUUCAGAUGAAGAACUUGCAUCUUCCUUUGCCAAUUGCUUUAGAGAUGACCAAGCUG
rnacentral:misc_RNA from 1 species